AACGAACGCUGGCGGCAGGCCUAACACAUGCAAGUCGAACGCCGUAGCAAUACGGAGUGGCAGACGGGUGAGUAACACGUGGGAACGUACCCUUCGGUUCGGGAUAACUCAGGGAAACUUGAGCUAAUACCGGAUACGUCCGAGAGGAGAAAGAUUUAUCGCCGAGGGAUCGGCCCGCGUCUGAUUAGCUUGUUGGUGAGGUAACGGCUCACCAAGGCGACGAUCAGUAGCUGGUCGAGAGGAUGAUCAGCCACAUUGGGACUGAGACACGGCCAAACUCCUACGGAGGCAGCAGUGGGGAAUAUUGGACAAUAGGGCGCAAGCCUGAUCCAGCCAUGCCGCGUGAGUGAUGAAAGG
rnacentral:rRNA from 1 species